GAUGAAGAACGUAGCGAAAUGCGAUAAGUAAUGUGAAUUGCAGAAUUCAGUGAAUCAUCGAAUCUUUGAACGCACAUUGCGCCCGCCAGUAUUCUGGCGGGCAUGCCUGUUCGAGCGUCAUUACAACCCUCAGGCCCCCGGGCCUGGCGUUGGGGAUCGGCGGAAGCCCCCUGCGGGCACAACGCCGUCCCCCAAAUACAGUGGCGGUCCAGCCGCAGCUUCCAUUGCGUAGUAGCUAACACCUCGCAACUGGAGAGCGGCGCGGCCACGCCGUAAAACACCCAACUUCUGAAUGUUGACCUCGAAUCAGGUAGGAAUACCCGCUGAACUUAAGCAUAUCAAUAAGCGGAGGA
rnacentral:misc_RNA from 1 species